GGCCGGCUAGCUCAGUUGGUUAGAGCGUGGUGCUAAUAACGCCAAGGUCUUGGGUUCGACCCCCAAGUUGGCCA